rnacentral:lncRNA from 1 species
ACCACAUCUGAAUCAUUGAGUGCAAACUGGUGAGAGCGAACUGGUCUGUUCGGCAGAAAAGACAAAUUUUUUGUGGCUGCCAGUUACAGGUUUUAUAUACUCUUAUAGUCUUCGAUGUUGUUUUCAGCUCAUGUACACAUCUAUUGCAUGUCCAUUUCCUGUUGUUUUUGUGCAGUCUAUAUUUGAGAGGUUUGACCGUGACCGAAGUGGUAAAAUUGAUGCGUCACAGCUGCACAAUGCUCUUCUUAUUCAGUUUCUCCAACUGCACUAGACUUGCUCGUGUCUAAAUUCGACAAGACUGGGGCAUUAGCAAAGCAGUCCAAUAUGGAAACUUUAUAGAGAAAGUUGACUCCUUCAAUUUAAUUUGGCUAAUUGUUCCAAAUCAACAGUACAAGCUUUUAUAAUAUCCAAUCUGUUAAAACUUAGUUAACUUUAAGUUUCUAUGUUUAAAAUAUAUAUUGAUUCUCAGUUUUUUCUUCUUAUUUCAGAUUAAAAUUGGUGAAGCAUUCAUGUUCAAAGCUUAGCUUAGUCAGAUUUUAUUCAGGAACUUUAUUUUAUUUGUUAAUGUCAUGGUGUUCAUGUUCUAGGCUUAGCUCAACCAGAUAACAUGUAGGGAGUUCAAUUUUAUUUGUUAAUAUAAUGAUGGAAU